UCAAUUCUGGGGGGAUCAGACAAUAUUUUGGUCAGACCAGAACUAUUUAAUGACACUAGACACUGAGAUUCAAAAAGUUGAAGCUUUAGAACUGUUAAAAUUGUCUGUGAGGAGCUAAAUCUCCUCCCUCCCCCAGCAGCUCCCCCAGGGCAAUGACCCAGUGCCUCCCCCACCACCCCAUGGACCGAGGCUGAGAGUCCAUCUGAUGGCGGCUCAGGGGCCUGUGGAAUGUGCUGGGAUCUCAGCCUGGCCCUAGGGGGGCAGGUGACCCUGUCACACAACCACACCCAGCAAGGCCUGCUCCCAUUUCCUCCCUGUUUGUCCUUCCCAGCAGAGAGACCAGGGACUGCAGGGAGACCAAGCUCCCAUCCCCCAGGGCUUCAUCUUCAACCCCACAACGUGGCUCCGGCUGUCAGCCCCACAUGGCGGGGCUCAGGCUUCAGCUGCUUUGCAUCUCCAGGAUUGGAAGGGCUGCAGGAACAGCAAGUGACGGGGGAAUUUCCCACUGAACUGAAGGCACGUUCUCAGGAAAGCCCAAGGGCUUCCAAUGAUAUGAUCUGUCCUAUGGAUGCAAGCGUCUAUCAGUUAUCCCUGGAGUCUGUCCAUGUCCCUGCCCUGCUCUGCUCUCUCCCUGGUCGUAUGUUACAGGCAGAGACAGAAGCUGAAAGGCAGAAACUUGUGUCUUACUUUCAGCAACUGCACCAUGUCCUGGAGGAACAAGAGCGACUCCUACUGGCCCAGCUGGAAGAGCUGGAUCCAGAGACUGCAGAAAGAAUUGAAAAGACAAAGCAAAUUUUGCAGGAAAUACCCUGUGCCUGUGAGCUGCUCCUGAACGGGCGUGUGUGUGUCUGAUCACAAACCGGAGAACUUGGAGGACGCUGAUGUGGCUAGUAAGUUGGUGAAACUAGCAGAAUAACAUUUCUCUUUUGACGUAGGAAUAAAAACCCUGAAUAUUGUU